CACCGCGGUUAUACGAGAGGUUCAAGUUGACAAAGUCCGGCGUAAAGCGUGGUUAUGAACACACCCCUACUAAAGCCAAAUGCCCACAAAGCUGUUAUACGCACUCGAGGGCCAGAAACCCACCAACGAAAGUGGCUUUAUCUACCUGAACCCACGAGAGCUAUGAAA
rnacentral:rRNA from 1 species